ACUUAUACCUUAGAGGGGAAAUACCAUGUCAUAAAAAUGUUUUUCCCAGGGAGAGGCUCAUCCAUUGCACUUUGGGUGUAUUGCUGAUCCCUGUGAUUUCUCUAAAUGUGGGGAACUCAGCUGCAUAAUUUAUGUUAAUGAGGGGAUUACAUUUGUGAUUUCCCUUC
rnacentral:snRNA from 1 species